UUUGUCUCAAAAAAAUAAUGAUUUAAAAAUCGCAGGAACAAUUGUAAUACAAAUUUGCUCGGAGCAGCGAAAUGUGAAAAAACAGUAUAGGGAAGGGAGAGGAACACAACAACAGAAAGAGGCCGAAAUCGCCUCAUCCUCCCGUCUCUGUCGCUCGAACCACACUCACACCCACACCCGCAGCUCGAAGUACUUUGCUUUCCAACGUUGCCAUAAGGUACGACGACGACAACGACUACGACGAAGGCCCUUUUUGGAGAGGGCCGAGAAUAUGCAGAAAGGAGACACCAUCAUCAUAUUCUGGGGCUGACGAGACGCCGAGAUACAGUCAGUAGCGAAGCCAAGCGCAAGCAGCGCAUUAUGAAAGGGAGAGGUGCUGGAUUGUGGGCGUAGCGAAUCUUCUCCUGGGACCUAGCCGAACGACCGGUCGCCACGGUGUCUCCGUCUCCUACAGGCACCCCAGCCUCUGUCUCCACAUCGGUCUCAACUUCUACCAAGGCCCGCUUCGUGAGUGCGCAUACAAUUACAAUUACCGCGCAGAGACAUACACGCACACUGGCAGACGAAAGGGGUACGCGAAAUGAGGCCCAAACAACAACAUGGAUGAAAAUAGAUGAAAUUAGCAACAAAGCCGACAACGAACCGAACCAGAUGCCGAAACCAAAGCCGAGCGUUGGAAACCUGUUUUAUUGUUGAUGCCGUUCAGUUGCUGUUGUUGCGGUGGCGCAAGUUUCUCAAAUGGCAAAAGUGAUUUUGAGCCGAGAAGGGAGGAUUAAAGACUGAGGGUGACUGAGAGA